rnacentral:rRNA from 1 species
UACAGAGGUCCCAAGCGUUGUUCGGAUUCAUUGGGCGUAAAGGGUGCGUAGGCGGCGCGGUAAGUCGGGUGUGAAAUCUCGGAGCUUAACUCCGAAACUGCAUUCGAUACUGCCGUGCUUGAGGACUGGAGAGGAGACUGGAAUUUACGGUGUAGCGGUGAAAUGCGUAGAUAUCGUAAGGAAGACCAGUGGCGAAGGCGGGUCUCUGGACAGUUCCUGACGCUGAGGCACGAAGGUCAGGGGAGGCAAACGGG